rnacentral:tRNA from 1 species
GGGCCCGUAGCUCAGCAUGGAUAGAGCAGUAGGCUUUGUCGGCUGAUCCUCCUAAUCUUGCUGGCGAGAGCUAAAGGUCCGGGGUUCAAAUCCCCGCGGGCCCGCCA